AUGAGCGCAGCUGUAGUCGUCCAAUCUCACAACCCCUCUACCGAGAUAGUACUAACUCAGGCCCGCUCGGAAACAAUUCCUAAUCCUAUGGGGUGUGGGUUGGGUGGCGUACUGGGAUGCAAUCCUGAUUUCCCUAUUUUUCUCUCUAGUCUCACGUGUUUGCAUCAGGGGCUUUUACGUUCAAAAGCAACGAAAUUUCCCCUCCCAGCCCAUGCGUUAAUACUGAUGCAAAAAACUAUACACCCUAUAUCAAGUAGCGGAGGGAGUAUAUUGUUGAGUAGUGGGUGCCAGUACAAGGGGUUAGCAAUUAUCACUAAUCAUAUAUCUUAUAUAAUUAAGUAG
rnacentral:rRNA from 1 species